CUUCUGCGAUAAAAUAAACACUUCAUAUUUGUACUGGUAGUUUUGUAUUAUCUUGAAUUGUACUUUUUUUUAGAUAAUCUUGAAUUGUACUUAAGAUGUCCUGUUCUACAUUUUGAAAGGGUAAAACAAACAAGGGAAUAGAAAGAAAAGCGCAAUGUUGUUACUUGUUGAAAUCGAAAAAGUAAAGUGUUUCCAUUGAAUCAAUGGGGUUAUGGGAGGCCUUCGGCAAUUGGUUACGCAGCCUCUUUUUCAAGCAAGAAAUGGAGUUAUCUUUGGUUGGCCUUCAGGAUGCUGGGAAAACAUCACUUAUAAAUGUUAUUGCAGUAUCUUACCAGACCUUCUACAUGAUUAAUUUUCCAUUUCAUUUCCUACGCUGAUCAUGACAAUUUAUCUGUCUCUAAAUGAACUUCAUGACUUGUUGAGCAAACCUUCUUUAAGUGGGAUUCCUAUGCUUAUUUUGGGUAAUAAGAUUGACAAACCUGGGGCAUUGUCUAAGCAAGACCUGACAGAGCAGAUGGGACUGAAAUGCAUCAAUGGUAGAGAAGUUUGUUGCUUCAUGAUCUCCUGUAAAAACUCCAUCAACAUUGAUACAGUUAUUGAUUGGCUUGUAAAACAUUCUAAAUGGAUGAACUGAAGCUUGAGUUCUGCCCUAUUGAUCUAUUUGUAUGUUGUAUUACAGAUGAACCUAGCUGAUUGAACUUCUGUUGGUGUGAUACUAGUUUUUCUUUUCCCUUUUUUGACUAGCUUACACCAAACCAGACAACAUGUGAUUUGAUAUGUACAUUCUAACGAAUUACAUGUGAGAGUUGUGAAUUAUAAGGUAAGACAAUUGUUAAUGCUACAUAUGCAAUGGAUUUGAAUAAACAAUUGUUUUCAUAAUAUUAUUCAAAGAUUGAUAUUUUUGAGUGGCAGGCAUCAUGGACAACAAUCCACAACGUCCUUCCUAAUUCAGCUUGAAAUAACAUAGAUCAUUUAGCAAUAUUACUUCAUUGUAAAAUGUAGAGUUCAAAUGGUGUACUUAGACAUAAGAUAACAUACCACACUCUCAGCGUUGUGACUGAUGCUUGCAAACUUGUGGAGAGAUACAGAAAUCAAAUCAACUGCUAAGCGUGUCAUAGCAUGCCAAGCAGUUUUUAUGCUUACAUGAAAACACUAAUGCAGCCAGAUAGUUAAGACUGAUUCACAUCUCCUAUUCUUUUGGUGGAAGAAACACAACUGCAAGUGUUCUUUUCUGGUUGAGAAUGCAGUGCAAGUCUUUGUGCCUAGUGAAUGACAAACACACAUUUGAGAAUAACACAGGCACAAUAAAUAUGAAAAAAUAGGGGCUGAGAAUGCAGUACAUGCCUAUGUGCCUAGUCAAUGAUUAACACACACUUGAGGACAAUACAGGCACAGAUAUAUAUUAAAAAAAAUAGGGGCAUUCCGAGAAUCGAACUCGGGACCUCUCGCACCCAAAGCGAGAAUCAUACCACUAGACCAAAUGCCCACACUGAAGGGGUAAAGGCUAAAUCAAAUGUAUGUUUAGUGUUUUGUUAAAAAAAUUUAUGCAUGCCACAUUGUCUUCAGUUCUACAGUAAGAUUGUAUACAGAAUUACAAUUGACCAUAUUUGCUUACCAGGAUAGAAUUGUCAGUCAAGAUAACUUAUUUUUCUAGUCAAGGUACAAAGGGAGUUUUCUUAUUUACCCCUGAUUUUAUAUUUUGACUUUUUUAUUGGAUUGUUAGAUCAAAUUUUUUCAAUUAAAAUUGAUUAUGCAUGCCACCUUGCUUGCAGUUCUAUAUUUAGAUUGCAUGUAAAUGACCAGAUUUGCAUACCUGGAUAGGCAAUUUUCAGUCAAGGUAACUUGCUUUAAAUUUACCCCUCUGGUUUUAUAUUUUAAGACCAACCAUGACUUGCAACAUAUUAUUCUAUUACAUUUUCAGUGGCAAGUCCAAGUUGUCACUUAGUACUGAAAAUCUUCCAACCAAAAAUGUUAAUGUAUCACAUCAUUCAUCCCAACACAUUCACAUGGAGCCUCUGACGCUUAUUGUUUAUAUAAAUAAACAACCUAACAAGUCAAGCUCGUCAGCAUCUAGAGCUUCAAAAGGUUAAAAUUUAGAAAUAAUAUCUUAUGCUUAUUGGUAUUUAAGUAUACCAAUUAACAAGUCAAGUCAAGCUUGUAAGCUUCCAAAUCAUCAAAGUAUAGGACAUUCCGAGAAUUGUACCACAAGACCAAAAGUCUUAUUAUGCUAAUUUUGUUGUCUGCUAAUUCUAUUAAAAACUAAUGAAUUGUUUUAGUGAAAUUAUUUUUGGGUGGAUUCUGAAGUUAAAGCUUGGCUUCUAACUCGUGCUUCCUGACUUUUACCACACGUCAUCCGUAAAUUGGUAGCAUUCUCUUUUUUACCCAAGUUGAAACAUUGUACUUUUAGUGUUGUUUCAUAAGUGCAGGGAGCUGAAAUCCAUCAGCAAUAGAGAAGUUUGUUGCUUCUUCAUCUCGUAAAAAAUCCACCAACAUUGAUACAAGUUUUUGGUUGGCUUAAAACAUUUUAAAUCAAAGAACUGAUGUUUUGCAGUAUGCAUCUAUUUGUAUGUUGCACGACAGACUGACCAAACUGAAACAAGUAACUUCUGUUGGUGUCAUACUAGUUUUUCUUUUCCUUUUCUGACUGGAUUACAUUAAAAUAAACAGCAUGUGAUUUGAUCCCUAGGUUAUCACAUAUAUACUACAUCUCAGUGUUGUAAAUUAUAGAAUCAGAUGCUUGAUAAUGCUACAUUUGUUAUGAAAUUUGAAUAAAUAAUUGUGUUCAUACAUUUGUUUUUAUAAGAUGUUGAUAUUUUUGGGUGCCAGGCAUCAUGGACAACAAUUCAUAACCUCCUUCCUUAUUCAAUUUGAAAUAACAUAGUUUAUUUAGCAAUAUUACUUCAUUGUAGAAUUUAGAGUUCAAAUGUCACAACUAGACUUAGACAUUACAUACCUCAAUCUCAGUAAUUUAACUGAUGCUUACAAACUUGUGGAGAGAUUUGGAAAUAAAAGCAACUGCUUAGUGCUUCCUGGCAAGCUAUCUUGAUGCUCAACUGUGAAGGAUAAUGGAGCCAGAUUGUGAAGACUGAUUCACAUCUUCUCCUGUUGUUUUGGUGGAAGAACUGCAACUAUGCUAGUUUGCUGAUAAUGCAGUCCUUGUCUUUGUGCCUAGUCAAUGAGAAAACACACAUGAGGACAAUACAGGAACAAAUAAAUAUGAAAAAAUGGGGGCAGAAAUAUGAAAAAAUGGGGGCAUUCCGAGAAUCGAACUCGGGACCUCUCGCACCCAAAGCGAGAAUCAUACCACUAGACCAAAUGCCCACAUUGAAAGGGAGUGGGGGGGAUGCUAUCCAUGACCAUAAGCAAUGGAGAAGUUUGUUGCUUCAUGAUCUCAUAAAAACUCCACCAACACUGACUAGAGGAGAGGUACAGAGAUCAAGGCUACUUCUAAGUGCCUCUUGGGAAGAUGUCUUGGUCCUCAAAUGUGAAGGCUAAUACAGCCCGGUGGUUAAGACAAGUUCACAUCGUAUCCUGUUCUUUGAUGGAACAAACCCAACUGCAAGUAUUCUAUUCUGGCUGAGAAUGAAGUGCAUGUCUUUGUGCCUAGUCAAUGACAAACACCCACUUGAGGGAUAAUACAGGCACAGAUAAAAAUGAAAACAUGGGAGCAUUCCGAGAAUCGAACUCGGCACCCAAAGCGAAAAUCAUACCACUAGACCAAAUACCACUAGUUUUCUGUUAAAAUAUUUUGUGUGAGAAACAUUGUCUUCAGUUCUACAGUAAGAUUGCAUACAAAUGACCAGAUUUGCUUACGUGGAUUGGCAAUUGUUAGUCAAAAUAAUUUGUUUUUCUAGUCAAGGUAUCAAAGGGAGUUUGCUUAUUUACCACUCUGAUUUUAUAUUUUAAGACAAACUAUGAUAUGCAACAUAUUAUUUUAUUAC